UGGGGAAUAUUGCGCAAUGGGCGAAAGCCUGACGCAGCGACGCCGCGUGAGGGAUGAAGGUUUUCGGAUCGUAAACCUCUGUCAGAAGGGAAGAAACCGCACUGUGCUAAUCAGCAGUGCCUUGACGGUACCUUCAAAGGAAGCACCGGCUAACUCCGUGCCAGCAGCCGCGGUAAUACGGAGGGUGCAAGCGUUAAUCGGAAUUACUGGGCGUAAAGCGCACGUAGGCUGCUUUGUAAGUCAGGGGUGAAAUCCCACGGCUCAACCGUGGAACUGCCUUUGAUACUGCUUAGCUUGGAGCCGGGAGGGGGUGGCGGAAUUCCAGGUGUAGGAGUGAAAUCCGUAGAUAUCUGGAGGAACAUCAGUGGCGAAGGCGGCCACCUGGACCGGUAUUGACGCUGAAGUGCGAAAGCGUGGGGAGCAAACAGG
rnacentral:rRNA from 1 species